AUUGAACGCUGGCGGCAGGCCUAACACAUGCAAGUCGAACGGUAACACGAAACAGCUUGCUGUUUCGCUGACGAGUGGCGGACGGGUGUGUCAUGUCUGGGAAACUGCUUGAUGGAGGGGGAUAACUACUGGAAACGGUAGCUAUUACCGCAUAACGUCGCAAGACCAAAGAGGGGGACCUUCGGGCCUCUUUCCAUCGGAUUUGCCCAGAUGGGAUUAGCUAGUAGGUGGGGUAACGGCUCACCUAGGCGACGAUCCCUAGCUGGUCUGAGAGGAUGACCAGCCACACUGGAACUGAGACACGGUCCAGACUCCUACGGGAGGCAGCAGUGGGGAAUAUUGCACAAUGGGCGCAAGCCUGAUGCAGCCAUGCCGCGUGUAUGAAGAAGGCCUUCGGGUUGUAAAGUACUUUCAGCGGGGAUGAAGGGAGUAAAGUUAAUACCUUUGCUCAUUGACGUUACCCGAAGAAGAAGCACCGGCUAACUACGUG
rnacentral:rRNA from 1 species